GGGAUAAAAGUGGCCAAAGGGGGAAAGUGUCCAAAAUAACAGGGAAUCUGGUGUCCUCGUCGUGCUGCGGGGUUCGUGUGGGUCAGGCAGUGUUCGUGGAGGAAGGGUCCAGGUAAGGGGCGGAGUCCGGCGGCCGCACGCGCUCCCCUCCUUGGUCCGGGGCGCGAGGGGCGGCGGCUUCCUCUAGCGGCCGCAUCUCUCUCGUCGGCCGCGGCGCUGGUAGGGGAUGGACGGCCCGGCAUCCUGGCCCGUCGGCCGUGUAAACGGGUGCGGUUCUCCUCCGGAUCGCGGG